rnacentral:misc_RNA from 1 species
CAUAAUAUUACCUUAUCAGAGGAAGACACUUUAUUUGGUGGCCAAGUGUCAAAUCUUCAGGUAAUCUUAUUCUUAAUUUUAUUUUCACACUCAAGAUUCUUUUAAUAUUAUUCAUAGACAAAAACCUUGUAAAGAAAAUAAAUAAAAUAUUAGAAUUUAUAUAGAGAAAAAAAAGGGAAAUGCAUUUGCUUUUAGUCUGUAGUUUAUACUUACUUUUUUGAUGAAUAAUGUAUGAUCUCAGGCUUGUGAGAAUGUAUCUCUUCUCAAUAUAAGUUAUCAAUCUGAUUUCACCCCUUUCUUUGAGUUCAUUUUUUCUAAUCUCACCCACAGUUCAAUCUAGAACUUAGUUGCCUUUAUGUUUCUAAUGAGGAUUGUGACGUUUUAGCCACUCACUGUGUACUUCUUUAGCUUUCAGCUAAAGUCAUGCUAGCGCAUUUUCUUUAUUUUCACUUCUUUCCUUUUCUUUCUUGUUCCUUUUUU